rnacentral:rRNA from 1 species
UACAGAGGUCUCGAGCGUUGUUCGGAUUCAUUGGGCGUAAAGGGUGCGUAGGUGGCGCUGUAAGUCGGGUGUGAAAUCCUGAGGCUUAACCUCGGAACUGCAUUCGAUACUGCGGCGCUUGAGGACUGGAGAGGAGACUGGAAUUCAUGGUGUAGCAGUGGAAUGCGCAGAUAUCAGGAGGAACACCGGUGGCGAAGGCGGGUCUCUGGGCCGACACUGACGCUCAUGCACGAAGGCGUGGGGAGCAAACAGG